GAUGAACGCUGGCGGCGUGCCUAAUACAUGCAAGUCGAGCGAACGGACGAGAAGCUUGCUUCUCUGAUGUUAGCGGCGGACGGGUGAGUAACACGUGGAUAACCUACCUAUAAGACUGGGAUAACUUCGGGAAACCGGAGCUAAUACCGGAUAAUAUUUUGAACCGCAUGGUUCAAAAGUGAAAGACGGUCUUGCUGUCACUUAUAGAUGGAUCCGGGCUGCAUUAGCUAGUUGGUAAGGUAACGGCCUACCAAGGCAACGAGGCAUAGCCGACCUGAGAGGGUGAUCGGCCACACGGGAACUGGACCAGGGUCCAGACUCCUAAGGGAGGCAGCAGUAGGGAAUCUUCCGCAAUGGGCGAAAGCCUGACGGAGCAACGCCGCGUGAGUGAUGAAGGUCUUCGGAUCGUAAAACUCUGUUAUUAGGGAAGAACAUAUGUGUAAGUAACUGUGCACAUCUUGACGGUACCUAAUCAGAAAGCCACGGCUAACUACGUG
rnacentral:rRNA from 1 species